rnacentral:rRNA from 1 species
GAUUAACGCUAGAGGCAGGCAUAAUACAUGCAAGUUGAACGGCAGCACAGGUAGCAAUACUGGGUGGCGAGUGGCGCACGGGUGCGUAACACGUAUGCAACCUACCCUAUACAGGCGAAUAACCUUUAGAAAUGAGGGCUAAUACGCCGUAGUAUUACAGAUGGGCAUCUAUUUGUAAUUAAAGAUUUAUCGGUAUAGGAUGGGCAUGCGUCCCAUUAGUUAGUUGGUAAGGUAACGGCUUACCAAGACGAUGAUGGGUAGGGGAUCUGAUAGGACUUACCCCCACACUGGUACUGAGACACGGACCAGACUCCUACGGGAGGCAGCAGUAAGGAAUAUUGGGCAAUGGCCGCGAGGCUGACCCAGCCAUGCCGCGUGCAGGAAGACGGCCUUAUGGGUUGUAAACUACUUUUAUACGGGAAUAAUAGAGUGUACGCGUACAUUUAUGCAAGUAUCGUAUGAAUAAGCAUCGGCUAACUCCGUG